CAGUCGCCACGGUAAUACGUAGGGUGCAAGCGUUAAUCGGAAUUACUGGGCGUAAAGCGUGCGCAGGCGGUUAUAUAAGACAGAUGUGAAAUCCCCGGGCUCAACCUGGGAACUGCAUUUGUGACUGUAUAGCUAGAGUACGGCAGAGGGGGAUGGAAUUCCGCGUGUAGCAGUGAAAUGCGUAGAUAUGCGGAGGAACACCGAUGGCGAAGGCAAUCCCCUGGGCCUGUACUGACGCUCAUGCACGAAAGCGUGGGGAGCAAACAGGAUUAGAUACCUCUGUAGUCCCUGUCUUUUAUAA
rnacentral:rRNA from 1 species